rnacentral:lncRNA from 1 species
CAAGAUUCCAUUCCUUGGAAUCUGUGAGGCCAAGAACCCCAGGUCAGAGAACAUGAGACUUGCCACCAUCUUGGAAGCAGCCCACCACCAUCUUGGGAGCUCUGGGAGCAAGGACCCCCCGGAUACUAUAAGAAGAUUGGGAUAGAUACUGAGUGAGCCUCAGAAAAUCAGCUGGAUACACCCCAGUGGGGGAUUUGAUGCAGCAAUAUGCAGGCAUGGGAUAUCAGAAAGAGCCAGAUAACCAAAGGAAGAGUAGUAGCUGAAGCAGGAUUCUAAGACCAAGCUGCAGCAGAGCCAUCAGAAAACAACUCCUGAUUUUAGUUGAUCAGAUUCAAGUCAAUGAAAAAAUGACGUUUCUGUGUGUCUACUUCGGGCUAAGCACCAGGGUAGGCACAAGAGAGAUCACAGGGAUGAAUUAGUCCUAGCCCCUUGGAGAUUAUCCUCUCACCCUCUCCCCGCCAUAGUUAUCUUGGUCCUUUUCACAUAUAUCUUAGCAGGUUCUGUUUCAGGCAAAGUUUCACUUCUGUAUAUGUUUGUUACUACUGUUCAUUUGAGAUCUGCCACUAACCCUCAUUAUGACCUGGGACAUGUCUGUGGCCCCUCCACAUGCUGGCAGGAUAAAAAUUGACCAAAUAUAUGAUGCUGUCACAUAGAUGGAUCCUAUUAUUUGGUGAUUACAUUGAAAUCUUUACUGUAAAAAUUGUGUUGUCAAAAAUGAAAACAGAUGAUACUGAGUAACUCACUAGUGCCCUAAAGUACUCUACAGCUUUUCAAACAAAAUUGAAUAUUCUUUUCAACAUUCUCUCUGUAAAAAAAAAAAACAAUUCUAUAUUAGUGACCCUAUAUCCAAUAGCCAGUUCAAAUUUUGUUUUUCUCAUGUCAUACAUCUCUCUUUUGACUUCUCUGAAGUCAUCAAUCUACUGGCCACUUACCUUGUGACACAGUGGCAGAAGAUGUAGGAAAAUCUGUGCUACCCAUCAUUGACUAGCCACUUUACUAUCUGAGGUUUGUUAGUCUCAACUGUAAAAAAAGGAUCAAAUGAUCUGGUGUCCUUUUCCAUUCAAAGACUCUUGAGGUCAAAAGAAUUGAAUAGAAUCACAUUGGAGAAAAACCCUAUGAAUGUAAGAAAUGUGGUUUGGCCUUCAGUUUUCCCAGUUCUUUUUGAAAACAUGGAAGAGCUCAUGUGGAAGAAAAGCCUUAUGAAUGUAAGAAGCAUGAUGAGGCCUUUAGUUGUUCCAUUUUCACUUCAUGGCAUAACUUAUUCUGGAGAAAAACUAUGAAUGUAUGGAAUGUGGGAAUGUUUUCAUUUCUCAUAUGUAUGCAAAGAAACAUGGUAAUAGACACUGAAGAAAAUUUUAUAAAUAUAAGAAUGCAUACUGGAUUAAAGUACUAGUAGUAUAAAAAAUACAGAAAAAUGGCGUGAACCCGGGAGGUGGAGCUUGCAGUGAGCCAAGAUUGCAUAACCGCACUCCAGCCUGGGCGACAGAGUGAGACUCCAUCUCAAAAAAAAAAAAAAAAAAAAAGUACAGAAAAGUUAUCACUUUUAACAAUUACUUUAAAAGUCACGUGAAACUUCUACUGGAAAGAAAUCCUACACGUAAUAUGGAAAGCCUGGUGCAAAAUAAUUAUUGUAUAAUGCUUGUGAAAAUUCACAACAUGAAUAAAAUAUUACAUGA